CCGCGACCCCAGGUCAGGCGGGACUACCCGCUGAGUUUAANCAUAUCAUAA
rnacentral:rRNA from 1 species